UCUAUUUUAAUUUUUGAUAUUUGAUAAAAUUUUGUGAUCAUUCUGCUUAUUUUAUCCUAUUUGAAAUUAGGAAUUUGUUUCAAUUGAUAAGUAAAAGUGAUAGAUUUUUAACUAUUUGCGUGGUGUUUGUUGAAUUGCCCAAAUGAAUAUGCCUCUUAAUGGAUAGAUUAACUAGAAAAAUAAACUAUGACUAAAUUGGAGUUUGGCAACAUUGAAAAAAGCAGCUUAUUUAUCAACCAGUGCAAAAAGCAAAUGGCCAAGACUUGUGGGUCUUUUUCCAGUUUGGGAAGAUGGCAACUAAAAAAAAUGUGAAUUUACCGAAAUACUCUCAUUUAUUUCCAUUGUUUAGGGCAGACCUCUUCCCCUUCACACCUCUUCACUUAUGCCUCUCUUCAAGUGUUUGGGUAAAUUGUGGUCUGCCAUCAACAGAAAACAAACAACGCUGAUCUGUGUCGGCUAUUGUUGUCACCGACCUUCGUUGCCCAUUUGCGUCGGCUAUCUUCCUCACCGGUCUUUGUCGGCUGUCUUCCCACUGCGGAUCGGAUGUCUAAGCAACAGAUUGGGACCGGCUGUAGAGUUGGAGACCUUUAUGUAGUAGAGACGUCUAUGUGGUGGAGAGCUUGCAUCUGUCUAUAGCAACCUCUCAAACUGCCUUUUCCUCUUUACAGUUAGAUUCUCUGUCUAGUCCUUUCUACUUGUGGCGUUCUAGAUUAGGGCAUUUGUCUGCUGAUCGCUUAUGGUUUUUAGUUCAAUCGGGUAUAUUGGAUAAAGUUUCUCUUAGUAAAUUUACUGAAUGUCGGGGGUGUAAACUUGCCAAAAUGACAACCUUACCUUUUCACAAAAGUACUCAUAUAUCUAAUAUACCAUUUUCUUUAGUUCAUACUGAUGUUUGAGGCCCUUCUCUUGUUCUCACCGAAGGGGGUUCUGCAUACUAUAUGUCUUUUGUUAAUGACUGCACCCGUUACACUUGGGUUUAUCUUAUGACUCAUAAGUCAGACUUCUACUAGAUAUACUGUACCUUCCAGUCUAUGGUUACUACACAGUUUGGGUCUAUUAUUAAAUUGUUGCGGUUUGACUUGGGCGGGGAAUAGUUUAAAACUGAAUUCUGUGAAUACUUGGCCAACUGAUACACCUGCCCAAAAUGGUCGAGCUGAGCGUAAACACCGUCAUCUUCUUGAGAUAGCUAGUUCUCUCCUUCUCUCUGCCUCCGUUUCGGCUCCGUUUUGGGGUGGGGUAGUUCUUACUGCUGCUUUUCUUCUCAACUAUAUGUCUACCCUCCUCCUUUUUGGUUAGUCUCCUUACGAGGCUUUGUUUUCCCAACUUCCGAAUUACUCCCUCCUUCGUGUGUUUGGAUCUGUUUGUUUUGUCCUUUUAUCCCGUAAAGAUAGGACCAAACGUAGUGUCCGAUUUGUUCUCUGUGUCUCUUUGGUUAUAGUCUCACUCAUAAAGGAUAUCACUGUUAUGACCCUGUUUCUCGUCGCCUUUAUGUCUCCUGCCAUGUUGCAUUUCUCGAACGUUUACCUUACUUUUAGCUUCCUUCUCUCACCGCCCCUAUUUCCAAAGAAGAUUUGGUUCAUAUUGAUCCAUUUCCUUUUGAGGUCCCGUCUGAUAAGUACAUCUCCAUUGUUCCUUCCGAGCUUGUUCCAUCAUCUUCUCCUGCUUCACCUUUGGUUGCUUCUCCUCCUUCGGCUUAUCCUCAUCUGUUGUUAGUUUAUUCUCAUCGCAAGGCUCCUCCUCCACUAGUUGUCUCUACCCCUACUGCUUAUCCUCCUGCUUCUGACGACUCUGAUCUUGCUGCACACCAAUAUCCUACUCGUGAGCGUCGUCCUUCAAACAGGUUGGGUUGGUCUAAUAUAUGUUUUUCUGUUUCUUAUCGUACUUUUUUGUCUGUUAUUCAUUCUUUUUCAAAACUUCAGUCUUACACGGAGGCCUGUCAGGAUCCUAAUUGGGUUCAAGCUAUGGAAGAUGAAUUGUUUGCCUUGUAGAAGACUAACAUUUGGGAGUUGGUUCCUUUGCCUGCUGGCAAGAAUCUGGUUGGUUGCAAUUGAGUCUAUAAAUUCAAGAUUCAUUCUGAUGGCUCUCUCGAGCGAUACGAAGCUCGCUUGGUUGCCAAGGAUUUCUCGCAAUAGUAUGGUAUUGAUUAUGAGGAGACAUUUGCCCCUAUUGUCAAGAUGACUACUGUCCGUACCUUGAUUUCUGUUGCUGCUAUUCGACAUUGGCCUCUCUAUCAAAUGGACGUUAAUAAUGCUUUUCUUAACGGUCAUCUCACUAAGGAGGUCUACAUGCGUCCUCCCUGUGGCCUUCUCCACUCCUCUAGGCAGGUUUGUUAUCUUCGGUGUGCUUUAUAUGGUUUGAAGCAAUCUCCUCGUGCUUGGUAUGAUUGCUUUCAGACUGCUGUUACCGAGAUUAGGUUUCAUACUUUUGCUUCCGACUCUGUUUUGUUUCUGAGACAUACCUCGGCUGGUUUUGUUGCUCUCUUACUCUAUGGAUGAUAUGAUCAUCACUAGCUCUGACUCUUCUGAUAUCUCUGAGGUCAAGCAACAUCUCUUCCACACCUUCGAAAUGAAGGAUCUGGUCCCUUGCGAUAUUUUCUUGGUAUUAAGGUUGCCUCUUCUCCAAAGGCCUACUUUCUGUCUCAGGCCAAGUAUGCUAAUGAGGUUAUUCACCGUGCCAGUCUUAUCGAUACUAAGGUUUUUGAUACACCUAUUGAGCUUAAUGCGAAGCUCAACUGUACUGAUGGUGUCCCUUUGGAUGAUCUCACUUUCUAUUGCGAGUUUGUGGGUUGUGUAGUUUAUUUGACUGUCAUUUGUCCUGAUCUUGCUUAUGCUGUUCAUGUGGUUAGUCAGUUCGUUUCUGCUUCUCGCUCUACCAUUGGGUUACUUUGGUUCGCAUUCUUCGCUAUUUCCGGGGUACCAUCUUUCAGGGCCUACGGUUGUCCUCUACUUCUUCCUCUUUAGACUUGGUGGCCUAUGCUGACUCUGAUUGGGCUAGUGAUGUUAAUGAUCGUAAGUCCACCUCUAGUUUCUGUAUGUUUUUUGGCGAUUCUUGAAUCUCUUGGAAAAGUAAGAAACAAACUGUUGUUGUUCGCUCUACUAUCGAAGCUGAGUAUCGUGCUAUGGCUUAUGCUACUGACGAACUUGUUUGACUUCGUUGUCUUCUCUCUGAUUUGGGUGGAUCUCAGUCUUCUCUGACCUCUCUCUAUUGUGACAACUGCAGUGCUAUUCAGAUUGCCCACAAUAUUGUCUUCCAUGAAUAGAUGAAACACAUUGAGAUUGAUUGUCAUUUUGUUUUGUCCGACAACAUUUGCAGUCUGGCUCUCUCUCGCUUCUUUUUGUCUCCUCAGCUUUGCAACUUGCGGACUUCUUCACCAAGACUCAUACUACCGCUCAGUUUCAGUUUCUUCUUAGCAAACUCUCAGCGUUUUCUGCUAAAACACUUUGAGUUUGAGUGAGGUUGUGAGAAUAUAUUCUAUAUAUAUAGAUUGUGUAUAUAUGGCAUGAGUGUGUAAAUAGGAAUUCGUUUGUAUUUCAUAUUUCAGUCAUAGUUUGUAUUUCCUUUUUCAAUCAUAGAUUUAGGGCUAUAUAAACUAAUGAACUCUUUGUAAAUUGAAACAAUCGAAUAUACAGAAAAGCUUUUAGGAAUCUUAAACAUAUAACAUACAUAAUUAGUUUGAUUGAUUACUAAUUUAUCAUAAUUUCUUGUAUAAGCAUUGCAACAGAAGUAUUUUACAAGAAAACUAAUAAAUCUCACAAAUAAUUUUUUUCAAGUUUUAAAAGUUUUGAACUAUUGAUUAGAUCUCACUAUACAAUGAGUUCAUUCUUUUAUUUAUUUAUUUUUUUAAUCAAAUUUGGGUAAAAAAUUAGCUUUAAGCUUGAUUUGAUAUGGGAUGCUCAUGCUCCAAUGGCUUUUCAUCAAAUUUAACUGCAAGCUUGAUUUGGUGAAAUUUUUUUAAUGCUCCAAUCCUCACUUUAAAAAUUCAUCAAAUCUUUUUUACGAAUUGGGUUUGGCUUCUCAAGUUCAAAUCUUGGCUUGAGAGAACUAGAGAGGAGAACUUGAGUGGCUCGUGGGGUCCGCUCAAGUUUUGUUUCGAUGAUCCAAACCAUUCAUGUAGGGGCCUUUGUGUAUAUCAUCCAUGAAAAAAAUUAUCACAGUUGAAUAAUGGCAACAUUUUCAUUUCAUCAUGUCUGUUUCCAAAAAUGGACAAUGAGUAUGUUUUGAAAAUAGACCAUAUUUUUUUGCGAUAAACAUGGUAAAUACAAAUAUAACGAUUAUUGGACUGAGCUACUUUUUUUCAUAGAUGAUAUAUACAAAAGAUCUUAUGAAAUGAAUGGUUUGGAUCAUCGAAAUAGGAUAUGUGGUGUGUCCCAUGAGCCCUCAAGUGAGGCUGUACUCUUAAAAAUUCCAUGCUUAUCCCCAAAAGUUUGUUUCAUCAAAUCUAGUGAAAAACUUAUUUUGUCUUGAUUUGAAGAAAAUUUUGAUUUGAUACAAAUUUGAUGAAAUAAUUGGAGUCAUUUUCUUGAAAUUCAAAUUUGACACAAGAUUUUGUGAAGGAUGGGAGAAUGCUGUAAUGAAUUAUACUAGUAACUAGAUCACAUCAUAGUUAUAAGGAAAAUGCUUGACAAAAAGGAAUUCCAGUAGUGGAAUUAGUUAAAAUAGAAAAAGUAGUUUUUUAACUAAAAUUUGGCUGACGUUUAAAAGUUUGAUGGAGAUGCGUAUUCUCUGUUCUUGUUCUGGAUUGU